rnacentral:rRNA from 1 species
AUUGAACGCUGGCGGCAUGCUUUACACAUGCAAGUCGAACGGUAACAGGCCUUCGGGUGCUGACGAGUGGCGAACGGGUGAGUAAUGCAUCGGAACGUACCCAGAGGUGGGGGAUAACGCAGCGAAAGCUGUGCUAAUACCGCAUGUGAUCUGAGGAUGAAAGCGGGGGACCGAGCAGCAAUGUUUGGCCUCGCGCCUUUGGAGCGGCCGAUGUCGGAUUAGCUAGUUGGUGGGGUAAAGGCCUACCAAGGCGACGAUCCGUAGCUGGUCUGAGGGGACGACCAGCCACACUGGGACUGAGACACGGCCCAGACUCCUACGGGAGGCAGCGGUGGGGAAUUUUGGACAAUGGGCGCAAGCCUGAUCCAGCAAUGCCGCGUGCGGGAAGAAGGCCUUCGGGUUGUAAACCGCUUUUGGCAGGAACGAAACGGUGUCCGCUAAUACCGGGCGCUAAUGACGGUACCUGCAGAAUAAGCACCGGCUAACUACGU